GUGCUACUUCUCUCCUCCAUCCUGCAGUUCAGGUGUCACCUUCAGAUCCCUGCAUUUCAUCUCGUUCUUUCUCUGGAUCUCUUUACCUUAUUGUCUGCACACUCCACUUUCCUCUUCCCAUUGUUUUGAGAAGCUCUAAAUGGCUAAAAGUGCCCACCCAGUGCUUGUCUUUAUAACCUACAUCCCAUCAUUCGUUCAUCUGUUCGUUUGCUCAUUCAUCAGGUGUAGUGAACAGCUUCUUGUCCCAUCCCUCCUGGCAACCUCUGAGUCGCCUGACUUACUGCAUGUUCCUGGUGGCGAUUCCUGUUCAGACGAUCAUCUAUGUCUACAAUGACUUCUACCCCCUUUAUUUCUCACAUCUGAACAAGGUUCUGGAAACAGUUGGCGCUCUGUUUGUCUCUGGCGUUGGGGCAGUUCUCCUCUCCCUCUGUACUGAAGCCCCCGUCAUGGGUCUCGAGAAGCUGCUUUUGAGGAGAGACAAAGAGAAGCGCUAGCUGUGGGGAGGGCAGUUUUUAGUGAUGGAAAUUGGACUGUGGCAGAGUCUCCCUCACCGAGGACGUCACGCAAUUGGAAUUUUAGAAGUUCAAGCGAAGAUGCAAUGCACUGCCUCCCUAAUGUUAUUCCACUGACAGCAUUUAAAUGCAUUUAUAUAUCUGUCUACUUAUUAACUUCUUCCUAAUGAACACCAUAUUCUUUGGAAGCGCGAAUUUCGAGUCAGUGGCCCCUUUAGUGGGCUUAUUCCAUAUGAAUAGGGUUACUCUAAUUAGUAUUAUAAUAAUAUUUAUUUGUAAUGUAGGAUAAGUGAUACAGUUUGGUUCAUUUGAGGCUUCAAGAUUAUCUUUGUGGCAUUUUAAGACACUUCAAACGAAGUCGCAUAUUUAAUUCAGUAGUUUUACUUUCGUAACCGGGAAUGAAUUGUUUUACUCACAAGUGACUUCGUUAACUAAGUGGCAAUUCGGUUCACUUAGGAAAUUCUAUAUUCACAAAAGGGUCCUUCACUUCACGCGGGAGAUGCAAAGUGACCUAAAAUGUCGUUUGAUUAACUAAAAAUAUACCCAAGUCAGAGGUUGCUUGGUUAACUCGGGGAUAACCGAGUGGAGACGAGGGUAACGUGGGAUCAUCUUCACAAAUAUGACGCCGUUUGGACAGUCAGGUCGUCUCCUCAAAUAAUGUUGUCAAUCAGAUGAAUAUCAAUUCUCCUCAAUUAAACUAAAUACAGACACA